rnacentral:lncRNA from 1 species
CUCCUGUUUCCCUUACCUCUUCGAUUAUCUCUCAAAAUCUCCCCUAACCCUAGCCAUUGUCACCUGAACCCUUCAAUCCAUAGGGUUUCCCAUCGAUCUUAGGCCCCAUCCAGCCUCCUACCUCUACUGGUUGUUCGAUUUCAUUAUUGUUUGAUGGAAUAUCAAGGAGACUCGAACAAGACUCGGUCCAAACCUUUCAUUUUCUCAAUGAACCUGUCUGUGUUCAUCUCUAUAUUUGUGAGUACUGUUAUCUUCAUGUUUAUGGCUUAAACCUCUGGUUCAAAACUGGAUUUUUUCUCACCUCUGUCAUUUUUUAAAACCCUAGUCACUUUCUACUCGAGUCUGUUCAGAUAUCUAUAGAUCUGACAUGAUUUUGAGUUUAUCUGAUAUUUCUCUUUAAAAAUCUUUUGUUUUUCUUGUUAUUAACUGAUUUUAGCUUUUCUCUAAAGUUAGGGUUUCAUCUUUACGUUUCUGCAACAUUUUUCUAAAGAGUUUGAGUGUUUUAACUCUGGUUCUCUGUGUUUGCUCGACUAGUUUUCAUAUCUAUGUUCUAAUCCCUAGGGUUCCUAAUCACUUCACUGUUUUUCUUGAUAUUUGCCCGUUAUUCUUUGGCCUUGUCAAUUAACAGAGAUUAACUGAUAUUAUUUGCCUAAUUAGGGUUCGAAAUUAUAUUUUCUGUUGAAAUUGGUAUUUCUCUGCGAUUUUACUUAUUUUUUCUUAUUUGUGACUUAUAAUUGGUACUACUUGCCUUAAUUAGGUUACUAGCCUGAUUUUUGGGAUUUGAUUGUUUUAACCGGCCCAUACAUGGUCUUUGAUUUAUUUGGUUACCUUAUUAAACCUCAAACUUGGUUGUUAAUUGAUUCUCUCUAAUUUAAGGGAUUUUUCCCGGAUCCUGCUGUGUUAAUUGAUUGAGUUUAGCCUUAAUUAACUGGUUAAUUUGUUUUGCAUACCUUAUUUGUGAACUCUUAAUUUUCUUUGCCUUGUUUGUUUUACUCUGCUAAAUGCUAUAUAAACCGCCCCAUUCUGGUUUUUAAAACACAAGAACACACACGGAAAGUUACAGAAACACCUACACACAUAAACUCUUACUCUUACUCACACACUCACAACCAUAGUUCUUUCUGUUACUUCUAUUUGCUGCACUAUCUAGCCGGCUGAAAGCCAAGGCUAGACUCUUAGAUUCGAUUUGCCUUUACCUUCCCGCUUGCUAUCUCCUUAACUGGUAUGCCUCCAUUUCUAUUAUCAUUCUAUAUUCUAUGUAGUUAAACUUCAACAUGUUUCUGUUUGCCCCAUGUUUUCCUGUUUAUUGCUCUCUUAAUCAGCAUGACUUAUUCCUGUUAACUUGCCCUAUCUUAUAUGUUAGUAUAGUUAUUAUACUUGAGCACAUUCCUAUUUUAUCCAUAACACUUGUUUACUUGUUUCUCAACUAGAAUGCCCCGAUUCUUGUCCUGUUUUUAUGUGCUGAUAAUUUACCUUAGCAUGUUCCUGAUCAAUUCAUGGUUUCUGUACACUUCUUUCAAGAAUAAUGUGCUUUAAAUUCCUGCUACCUUUUCUGUAUGGCUGUCUGAUUAGUCAUUUGACUUCAGCAUGUUUCUCUCUGCUAAAUACAUGUUCAUAUGAUUCCACCUAGUAAUACUUAAUAGACUAAAUCAACUCCGGCAAUGUGAAACCUUGUUUGACUCAAUUAUGACUCUAUUCUGUCUAUGAUUCCAGUAUUCCUAUUUUGUUGUGAUUGUUUAACUACUGGUAAAUAUAUCUGAAUUAAUCUGCUGAAAUAUGGUUCUGUUCUGUUUGCAACUUGUUUAAAACUUCUGAAAAUAAACUAUUUUUUUCAUAAAACCAUCCCCUACCUUUGUAUACUAUUUUUAAACUCUUACUCUUAGAUAUCUAGGGUCCUGCCACCCCCAGUGUGAGCACUGCCUAGGGUCCAUGAGACUCCUCCGAACUCUGACACACUGGGGUUGGCCUUCCAAAUUCUUUACAAAACAGUUUCGUUGAAAAGGUUCUGGUGUGAGAAUUGCCCAGAGUCCCUGAGGCCCUUGGGAACUUUGACACACCAGAAGCCCAUUUUGUGUAUUGUGAACUACCUGUGGACAUCAAACUUGCUUGCUUGAAGGGCUGGUUUCCAGGUUGACACUGGUUUCCAGUAUAAUGAUUUUUCAUUGUAUUGGUCUAUAAUAAUGUAAUAAUCUUUGUAAAAACAGAUAUGGGGUUAUUAGUAAAAGCUGGGGAGGGAUCUUUAUAUAUAUCUUUUAUUAAAUUCGGGUAGAAAUCAUGCCUAUAGGUUGUUGUGGUGAUUCGUUAUGUGCAUGCCAUUAGAAACCAUGCUUAUAAGACUUAUCUUAUUACUUGUAAUCCUGAAUUUUCACACUUUGCAUCCUAGAAAUCCUGCUUCUAGGUCAUUUAUCAAUUCUACAUCAAAGAAACAUAUUUCCAAAAUCUCCUUGUAUGCAUUAGAGAUCAUGUUUCUAGGAUAUUCUUUAUUGACUGGCUUGGCAACUUGUUAACGCCUUUACUCACCUAGAUAUCAUGCCUAUAGGGAUUGUAUAAAAUCAGUCUUAAUACUUAGAUAUCAUGCCUAUAUGGAAUAAUGUUUGUAACCCAUUUUGUACUUAAAAAGCAUGCCUAUAGGAUUUAAAGAUAAAAUCUGCCUGUUAAAAUCAGUAACUAAUUUAAAACUUAGAUACCAUGUCUAUAAGGUUCUGCCCGACUAUUACUUACGCAAGCCUGUAGGUUAAUUAAAAUUCUGGGUCCAAAAACUGUGAUUGCUUGUUUGAAAUAUGGCCAGAUUCAGAGUAUUAACAAAAUCAGUAGGCAAACUGAUAGGUACUCGUCUGCUCGUUUUAAUAAAACUGUUGUAUAUUCUGUUUGUGCUCAUUUAGAUAUCCUGCCUAUAGGAUCCUAAAAUCAUUUAAAAUUUCUUGUUUGAACAACGUGCAUUUGUUUGUCUUUUUGUGGAGGUUAACAUGAUCCCACUUAAUUGCUCCUUAUGUGACCGUCCUACUUGACUUUUGUUUGUCGCUUAGUUUUCUCUUUUUAAACAACAUAGGUGAGUCUAGAACCUCCUUAAAUAGAGGUCUUAAACACCUCUAGUUCCAGAGGUAAGGGACUGGUAGUGCACGCAUAAGGUACGUACUGGAUGUUAUUAGAAUGCUUAGGUAAUAAUUAAAAAGGGGAGGUGUAACGACCUGGCCGGUCAUUUUAAGAAUUUAUGCCCCGAUCCCCUAUUAACUGUUUCCCCAUGUUUGUUUAUGCUAUUGUGAGUUGCUGGGGGGAAUUAUUGGGAGUUUCAGAGAAUUUUGGGACACUUAUACCUACGCGUUCGCAAUGGUGCUCCCGCGUUUGCAUAGGAGGAGGAAGUUUUGCAUCGCGUUCGCGACCUGGGCAUCGCAUUCGCGAUGAAGAAAUCUGGACCCAAGUGAAUUUUUGCUUCGCGAACAUGAGGGGCCUUCCGCAUUCGCGAAGAAGGAAUAUCUGGGCAGUAUUCAAAUAGCCUAUCCGCGACCCUUCUUUAUUUUUCCACUAUUUUUGAACGGGAUUGAAGCUUUUGAGGGUGAAUUUUGAGGAAACCAAAGGGGAAUCACUUGGAGGUAACAUUUUUGACUUCAUAACUAGUUUAUAUGUGAUUAAAGACCUAAUUAGUGGUAAAAAAUUUGGGAAAAUGGGUAAUUAGGGCUUGAGAUUAAGAGACUUUAACAUGGGUAUUUGAGGGGUCAAUUGAACUCUGAUUUCAGUUUUCUUGUUAUGUAUAGACUCGUGAAAGUAUGAGAAUUCUGAAAAUGUAAAUUUCACCUGAUUCCGAGACGUGGGCCUGAGGGGCAUUUUGGUCAUUUUUCUUAAUUUCGCGUAUUAGCUUAGAAUUUCUUUGUGGAAUCAGUUACUUGAAGUGUUAUUUACAUUAUGCAAUUGAAUUGGAUAGAUUUGGGCCAUUUGGAGUCGAGUACUGGUGGCAAGAGCGUGAUUUCAGGUUGAUUUUGAGCCGGUUCGAGGUAAGUGGCUUGUCUAACCUUGUGGGGGGGGGGGGGGACAUUCCCCUUAGGAUUUGGUAUUGUGGUAAUUGAAAUGACUUGUACGUGAGGUGAUGAGUGUAUACUUGUGCUAGUUGUUGAAAAUCCUAUUUUCACUUAAGUAGAUUUAGUUGUGUUUUCCUUUCUUGCUUACUCUACUUGAAAUUUAAAUCUGCUGUUAGCUUAGAAAAGCAUGUUUAAUUUAUUUAGUUGAGUAUUCCUUAUGUUGUUGCUGUAUAUUAUACUUUGGGACUACGGGACAACAUCCCGAGAGGUCCCCUGCACGUAUUUAUGAUUUGAGUUGAGGUGCGGGAUACCGAGAGAUCCCUAGCACGUAUAUUAAGGAUACCAAGAGAUCCCUAGCUUAUAUUGAGGAUACCAAGAGAUCCUCGGGAUACUAAGAGAUCCCUGGCAUGUAUUGAGGGUACUAAGAGAUUCUCGGGAUACUGAGAGAUCCCCGGUUAUUAUCUUUGAGAAGAGUGGUAUUCCUGGUGAUUGUUUCUGUUUCUGUUUUAGUUAUUGUUAUCUUUAUUAUCCUGUAUUGAUUCUUAGUAUUAUCUUCCAACUAUACUGCUUUAUCUUAUACUGUCGCACCUUAUAUUUCAUUUAAUCUCAGUAGGGCCCUGACCUUCCUUAUCACUACCUAACCGAGGUUAGGCUUGACACUUACUAAGUACCGCUGUGGUAUACUCAUGCCCUUUCUGUACAUGUUUUUCAUGUGUAGAUCCAGGUACCUCCACUUAGACUCAUCACGCUUGAGACGAGGCGCUUAUAGAGACUCCGAGGUAUAUAUGCCACAUCCGAAGAUCGAAGAGUCCCUUUCUACUCCCCCUU